rnacentral:rRNA from 1 species
UACGUAGGCAGCAAGCGUUGUUCGGAGUUAUUGGGCGUAAAGCGCGUGUAGGCGGCUCGGUAAGUCUGCUGUGAAAGUCCAGGGCUCAACCCUGGGAUGCCGGUGGAUACUGUCGAGCUCGAGUCCGGAAGAGGCGAGUGGAAUUCCUGGUGUAGCGGUGAAAUGCGCAGAUAUCAGGAGGAACACCUAUGGCGAAGGCAGCUCGCUGGGACGUGACUGACGCUGAGACGCGAAAGCGUGGGGAGCAAACAGG